rnacentral:rRNA from 1 species
UGGGGAAUAUUGGACAAUGGGCGAAAGCCUGAUCCAGCCAUGCCGCGUGUGUGAAGAAGGUCUUCGGAUUGUAAAGCACUUUAAGUUGGGAGGAAGGGCAGUAAGCGAAUACCUUGCUGUUUUGACGUUACCGACAGAAUAAGCACCGGCUAACUCUGUGCCAGCAGCCGCGGUAAUACAGAGGGUGCAAGCGUUAAUCGGAAUUACUGGGCGUAAAGCGCGCGUAGGUGGUUCGUUAAGUUGAAUGUGAAAGCCCCGGGCUCAACCUGGGAACUGCAUCCAAAACUGGCGAGCUAGAGUAGGGCAGAGGGUGGUGGAAUUUCCUGUGUAGCGGUGAAAUGCGUAAAUAUAGGAAGGAACACCAGUGGCGAAGGCGACCACCUGGGCUCAUACUGACACUGAGUUGCGAAAGCGUGGGGGGCAAACAGG